GAUGAACGCUGGCGGCGUGCCCAAUACAUGCAAGUCGAACGCUUCACUUCGGUGAAGAGUGGCGAACGGGUGAGUAAUACAUAAGUAACCUGGCAUCUACAGGGGGAUAACUGAUGGAAACGUCAGCUAAGACCGCAUAGGUGUAGAGAUCGCAUGAACUCUAUAUGAAAAGUGCUACGGGACUGGUAGAUGAUGGACUUAUGGCGCAUUAGCUUGUUGGUAGGGUAACGGCCUACCAAGGCGACGAUGCGUAGCCGACCUGAGAGGGUGACCGGCCACACUGGGACUGAGACACGGCCCAGACUCCUACGGGAGGCAGCAGUAGGGAAUUUUCGGCAAUGGGGGAAACCCUGACCGAGCAACGCCGCGUGAAGGAAGAAGUAAUUCGUUAUGUAAACUUCUGUCAUAGAGGAAGAACGGUGGAUAUAGGGAAUGAUAUCCAAGUGACGGUACUCUAUAAGAAAGCCACGGCUAACUACGUG
rnacentral:rRNA from 1 species